rnacentral:rRNA from 1 species
CCAUUCCCGACACGGGGAGGUAGUGACGAAAAAUAACAAUACAGGACUCUAACGAGGCCCUGUAAUUGGAAUGAGUACAUUCUAAAACUCUUAACGAGUAUCCAUUGGAGGGCAAGUCUGGUGCCAGCAGCCGCGGUAAUUCCAGCUCCAACAGUGUAUGCUAAAGUUGUUGCGGUUGAAAAGCUCGUAGUUGGAUCUUGGGCGAGCGCCGGCGGUCCGUCGCAAGGCGUGUCACUGUCGGCGCCUGCCUCACCUUCGGUUCUCCGUCGGUGCUCUUGACUGAGUGUCGGCGGUGGCCGAGACGUUUACUUUGAAAAAAUUAGAGUGUUCAAAGCAGGCUGGUCGCCUGAAUAGUGUUGCAUGGAAUAAUGGAAUAGGACCUCGGUUCUAUUUUGUUGGUUUUCGGAGCGCGAGGUAAUGAUUAAGAGAGACAGACGGGGGCGUCCGUACUCUGCCGUUAGAGGUGAAAUUCUUGGAUCGGCGGAAGACGAACUACUGCGAAAGCAUUCGCCAAGAAUGUUUUCUUUAAUCAAGAGCGAAAGUCAGAGGUUCGAAGACGAUCAGAUACCGUCCUAGUUCUGACUAUAAACGAUGCCAACUAGCGAUCGGGAGGCGUUACCAUGACGACCUUCCCGGCAGCUUCCGGGAAACCAAAGUCUUUGGGUUCCGGGGGAAGUAUGGUUGCAAAGCUGAAACUUAAAGGAAUUGACGGAAGGGCACCACCAGGAGUGGAGCCUGCGGCUUAAUUUGACUCAACACGGGGAAACUCACCCGGCCCGGACACAGGUAGGAU